GACGAACGCUGGCGGCGGGCUUAACACAUGCAAGUCGAACGAACGCCUUCGGGCGUUAGUGGCGCACGGGUGAGUAACACGUAGGCAAUCUACCCUCGGCUGGGGAAUAACCAGGGGAAACCCUGGCUAAUACCGCAUAACAUCUGGACGUCGCCUGGCGACCAGAUCAAAGCUUUAUGUGGCCGAGGAUGAGCCUGCGUCGGAUUAGCUAGUUGGGUGGGGUAACGGCCUACCAAGGCGACGAUCCGUAGCGGGUCUGAGAGGAUGAUCCGCCACACUGGCACUGAGACACGGGCCAGACUCCUACGGGAGGCAGCAGUGAGGAAUAUUGCGCAAUGGACGAAAGUCUGACGCAGCCACGCCGCGUGCAGGAAGA
rnacentral:rRNA from 1 species